CACGGGGGGAGCAAGCGUUGUUCGGAAUCACUGGGCGUAAAGGGCGUGUAGGCGGUCAAGUAAGUGGAAUGUGAAAUACCCCGGCUCACCCGGGGAACGGCAUCCCAUACUGCUUGGCUUGAGUACGGGAGAGGAUGUGGGAAUUCCUGGUGUAGCGGUGAAAUGCGUAGAUAUCAGGAGGAACACCGGUGGCGAAGGCGCACAUCUGGCCCGAUACUGACGCUGAGGCGCGAAAGCUAGGGGAGCAAACGGG
rnacentral:rRNA from 1 species